UUGAACGCUGGCGGCAGGCCUCACACAUGCAGGUCGAACGGUAACAGGAAGCAGCUUGCUGCUUUGCUGACGAGUGGCGGACGGGUGAGUAAUGUCUGGGAAACUGCCCGAUGGAGGGGGAUAACUACUGGAAACGGUAGCUAAUACCGCAUAACGUCGCAAGACCAAAGAGGGGGACCUUAGGGCCUCUUGCCAUCGGAUGUGCCCAGAUGGGAUUAGCUAGUAGGUGGGGUAACGGCUCACCUAGGCGACGAUCCCUAGCUGGUCUGAGAGGAUGACCAGCCACACUGGAACUGAGACACGGUCCAGACUCCUACGGGAGGCAGCAGUGGGGAAUAUUGCACAAUGGGCGCAAGCCUGAUGCAGCCAUGCCGCGUGUAUGAAGAAGGCCUUCGGGUUGUAAAGUACUUUCAGCGGGGAGGAAGGGAGUAAAGUUAAUACCUUUGCUCAUUGACGUUACCCGCAGAAGAAGCACCGGCUAACUCCGUG
rnacentral:rRNA from 1 species